rnacentral:pre_miRNA from 1 species
AUUCUACUCCCUCCUUGCACAAUACAUACCUUCUAUUUGUCAAAAUAUAUAUGUAUCUAGACAUGUUUUAGUAUAUAGGUACAUCCAAUUUUGGACAAAUGGAAGUCAAGUAUUUUGGAACGGAGGGAGUACACA